rnacentral:rRNA from 1 species
AGCGAACGCUGGCGGCGUGCUUAACACAUGCAAGUCGAGUGCGCAGCCGUCUGUAGCAAUACAGGCGGUGGGCGCACGGCGCACGGGUGCGUAACACGUGGGUAAUCUGCCCUCAAGUGGGGAAUAACCCGCCGAAAGGCGGGCUAAUACCGCAUAACACUUCUUGAACUUCGGUUUGAGAAUUCAAAGCUCGCAAGAGCGCUGGAGGAGGAACCCGCGGCCGAUUAGCUAGUUGGCGAGGUAAUGGCUCACCAAGGCUUUGAUCGGUAGCUGGUCU